UACGAGAGGCCCAAACGUUAUUCGGAUUUACUGGGCUUAAAGAGUUCGUAGGCGGUCCGUCAAGUGAGGUGUGAAAGCCCUCGGCUCAACCGAGGAAUUGCGCUUCAAACUGUCGGGCUCGAGGGAGAUAGAGGUGAGCGGAACUGAUGGUGGAGCGGUGAAAUGCGUUGAUAUCAUCAGGAACACCAGAGGCGAAGGCGGCUCACUGGGUCUCUUCUGACGCUGAGGAACGAAAGCUAGGGGAGCAAACGGG
rnacentral:rRNA from 1 species